rnacentral:rRNA from 1 species
GGUUAAGCGACUAAGCGUACACGGUGGAUGCCCUGGCAGUCAGAGGCGAUGAAGGGCGUGCUAAUCUGCGAUAAGCGCCGGUAAGGUGAUAUGAACCGUUAUAACCGGCGAUACCCGAAUGGGGAAACCCAGUGUGAUUCGUCACACUAUCAUUAACUGAAUCCAUAGGUUAAUGAGGCGAACCGGGGGAACUGAAACAUCUAAGUACCCCGAGGAAAAGAAAUCAACCGAGAUUCCCCCAGUAGCGGCGAGCGAACGGGGAGGAGCCCAGAGCCUGAAUCAGCAUGUGUGUUAGUGGAAGCGUCUGGAAAGGCGCGCGAUACAGGGUGACAGCCCCGUACACAAAAGCGCAUAUGCUGUGAGCUCGAUGAGUAGGGCGGGACACGUGGUAUCCUGUCUGAAUAUGGGGGGACCAUCCUCCAAGGCUAAAUACUCCUGACUGACCGAUAGUGAACCAGUACCGUGAGGGAAAGGCGAAAAGAACCCCGGCGAGGGGAGUGAAAAAGAACCUGAAACCGUGUACGUACAAGCAGUGGGAGCCCCACCACUAAGCCAGUGGUGAACUCCACAUACGCAUCCUUUGCUGAGGAUACGGUUAACGGAGCGAAAGCGACGUUCAACCUCAAAAGAAGCAGAGGGGGCUUAGUGGUGGGGUGACUGCGUACCUUUUGUAUAAUGGGUCAGCGACUUAUAUUCUGUAGCAAGGUUAACCGAAUAGGGGAGCCGGAGGGAAACC